rfam:Triticum aestivum genome assembly, contig: Triticum_aestivum_CS42_TGACv1_scaffold_096891_2AL
AGUGUACUACCUCCGUCCGAAAAUACUUGUCAUCAAAAAUGGAUAAAAGGGGAUCUAUCUAGACGUAUUUUAGUUCAAGAUACAUCUUUCUUUAUCCAUUUUAAUGACAAGUAUUUUGGGACGGAGGGAGUAGUAU